rnacentral:rRNA from 1 species
GGUUUUCGGAUCGUAAAGCUCUGUUGUUAGGGAAGAACAAGUGCCGUUCAAAUAGGGCGGCACCUUGACGGUACCUAACCAGAAAGCCACGGCUAACUACGUGCCAGCAGCCGCGGUAAUACGUAGGUGGCAAGCGUUGUCCGGAAUUAUUGGGCGUAAAGGGCUCGCAGGCGGUUUCUUAAGUCUGAUGUGAAAGCCCCCGGCUCAACCGGGGAGGGUCAUUGGAAACUGGGGAACUUGAGUGCAGAAGAGGAGAGUGGAAUUCCACGUGUAGCGGUGAAAUGCGUAGAGAUGUGGAGGAACACCAGUGGCGAAGGCGACUCUCUGGUCUGUAACUGACGCUGAGGAGCGAAAGCGUGGGGAGCGAACAGGAUUAGAUACCCUGGUAGUCCACGCCGUAAACGAUGAGUGCUAAGUGUUAGGGGGUUUCCGCCCCUUAGUGCUGCAGCUAACGCAUUAAGCACUCCGCCUGGGGAGUACGGUCGCAAGACUGAAACUCAAAGGAAUUGACGGGGGCCCGCACAAGCGGUGGAGCAUGUGGUUUAAUUCGAAGCAACGCGAAGAACCUUACCAGGUCUUGACAUCCUCUGACAAUCCUAGAGAUAGGACGUCCCCUUCGGGGGCAGAGUGACAGGUGGUGCAUGGUUGUCGUCAGCUCGUGUCGUGAGAUGUUGGGUUAAGUCCCGCAACGAGCGCAACCCUUGAUCUUAGUUGCCAGCAUUCAGUUGGGCACUCUAAGGUGACUGCCGGUGACAAACCGGAGGAAGGUGGGGAUGACGUCAAAUCAUCAUGCCCCUUAUGACCUGGGCUACACACGUGCUACAAUGGACAGAACAAAGGGCAGCGAAACCGCGAGGUUAAGCCAAUCCCACAAAUCUGUUCUCAGUUCGGAUCGCAGUCUGCAACUCGACUGCGUGAAGCUGGAAUCGCUAGUAAUCGCGGAUCAGCAUGCCGCGGUGAAUACGUUCCC